rnacentral:rRNA from 1 species
UACGUAGGGGGCGAGCGUUGUCCGGAUUUAUUGGGCGUAAAGAGCUCGUAGGCGGCUUGUCGCGUCGUCUGUGAAAACUUGGGGCUCAACCCCAAGCUUGCGGUCGAUACGGGCAGACUAGAGGUAUGCAGGGGAGAACGGAAUUCCUGGUGUAGCGGUGAAAUGCGCAGAUAUCAGGAGGAACACCAAUGGCGAAGGCAGCUCGCUGGGACGUGACUGACGCUGAGACGCGAAAGCGUGGGGAGCAAACAGG